rnacentral:lncRNA from 1 species
UGAACACCGGAAGUGAAGGGGCAGGGCCAGGGCCGUGCACUGAGCCCCGGGCCAUUGUCCAUCUCCGACCAGGGCAGUAGCCACCCCCACUAGCCAGCCGUCUUUAUCUCCUAGAAGGGGAGGUUACCUCUUCAAAUGAGGAGGCCCCCCAGUCCUGUUCCUCCACCAGCCCCACUACGGAAUGGGAGCGCAUUUUAGGGUGGUUACUCUGAAACAAGGAGGGCCUAGGAAUCUAAGAGUGUGAAGAGUAGAGAGGAAGUACCUCUACCCACCAGCCCACCCAGUCCCUCUCUCAGCAGUGGAUGGGGAUGGGGUGGGGGUAGGACGAGAAGGCAGCUGGUGGAGAAACAGCUUCAAGACUCUUUGGGUUCCUCCUGCUCUCCAGGGAGCUUACCUGGGGCUAACUUUAGACACACAGGUUUGGAGGGAGGAAAGAAGGAAGAAUUCUUUACAACGAAUCAAUUAAGAGCACUUUCUCUUUUCUAACUGGGGGAGGCCCAGAAAAACUCUGAGUCAGAAACUCUGGGAGGCAGACAUUCAGAUGUAGUCAGAGGCAGACAGACUUUGGAAGGCAGCGCUUUGGUCAGGACAGAUCAGCCCUGUGUGUCCCCAGCCUCUCCCCUGCUCCCCCAUCCCGGGCUUCCCAGUGUCCAGAACUCCAGGUCUAUCUAAGCACACGGGGGUGGGGGGUGAGAGCGGGUCAGCUCCAAGCAGCCGGGUCAGCUCAGAGGCCUGAGGGGGAAGAGAGGGGGAGGGGAGCUCAAGGGCUGGGGGAGGGGGAGGGCCCAUUCAUUUCUCCCUUGACAGGUGGUUUGUGUUUCUGAUUGGCCAGCGCCGCCAGGCUCACACCUCCCUCCCCCAACUCUCUGGAAUGUAUAAUUAUCUGCCCGGGGGGUGGGGGUGGUGUGUGUGUGUGUGUGUGUGUGUGUGUGUGUGUGUGUGCAGUCACGUGGUUUUAAAACUACCCCCCCCACCAGGUCCCCCACCUGUAUCUGCUUUGGGGACCCCUACUGAGUCCAAAGUGCAGGAUCUCAAAUUCCGGGGUACUCAAGUCUUCUAGGGCAGACAGACCCAUCUCCAGUUGUGCGUGUGGGGAGGGGGUGUCAAACCUCAAGGUUCUGAGAAGGGACACCCCAGAGGUGUCAGAGACCGGAGUUGUGGGGGAGG